GGAAGGGUCGCUUAGAGGUCUAGAGCGUUCGCUUGGAAAGCGAAUGUCGCCGUAAGGUGACCGAGGGUUCGAAUCCCUCCCCUUCCGCCA
rnacentral:tRNA from 1 species